UUUAAUUUUAAUUUUAUUUAUUUUUGCUGCCAGGAAAGGGCUGGCAAGGUUUCCAACCCCCGUGCUUUGAAGUGGGAGUGUGGAUUAGCUCAGAAGUUUGCUUUGUGGACGCUAACGCAAUUUCCUUCGCUUGGAACCCUUGGGUCUCUGUGGCAGUAACCGCGCAUGCGCGAGCCCCGACCUCGAGGCUGCUUCAAUCCUCAGGCGCCUAAGGGCGUGGGCGUCCUCUGGCCCGUGUGACCCCCGCCACAGGGACCAGGCAGCGGCCGAGGCCGGAGGUCCAAAGCAGGCCUGGAGGUGUCCGUGCAGGCUCCCCUUUGGAGCUCCUUGAGCCGAACUCCGUGGUGAGCCCGCUCUCCCGCGCUGGGCUGGGCUCCAACCAGACGCAAGACGCAAGACGGAUGUUCCGGUGUGGGGAGCUGCUCCUCCCACUCCACUAGCUCCUUCCCUGCAGGCGGGUGCGUGGUGCGCAGACAGGGAUGCGGAACCCGCCUGGCCUCGCCCUGCUCCACGGCUCCGUUUGGGCCGGGGCCGCUGGCCCAGCGGACACUCCUUCCUUCUCCGAGGCUUGGUGAAGCAGAGAGAGGUGUCCUUCUACAAGUUGGAGGAGGGGGAGAUUACUGCCAUAUAAGGAAGUUCUAUUUGAUGACCCGAGACAAAGAUGCUCCACGGAUGCCUUACUGCCUUUGAAGUAAGUAUUGCUGGGAAAACAGACCUUUACCGCCUCUCUUCUCAAAGGCAGCACAUCUGGUUGGCAACCUUCACGUUCACAGCUAGCGACGGGGAAAGGUUACGAUGGCUGGACUAAUGCUCCUUUCAACAGAGAACCACACUCUCAAGUGCAGGGUGUACGUGGCCAACACACAGUCAACAGCACAGAUGAGGGAGGAAACACGUGUAAGAACAUUUUAAACGUUUUCACUGAACAUUUUUAUUGCACUAGCGCAAGGGCCCAAUGUGUUACUUUUCAUCAGCACCCACAGCAAGUAGACUUGGCAAAUACACGCCUAUGGGUGGCACACAGUUCUCGGGGGAAAUGCAUGAUUCAAGCAGGGGGAGAUUGCACGCACACACCUUUGAAAACCACUCGUGGAAAAGACGGAACAAAUCUGACCAGGCUUCUACUGGUGAGGACGCCGGCAGAACUCAGAGCAACCAUAUCCCCCUGGGGAGAGCUUGGCCUGUUUGAGUUCGCUGGGACUCAGGCCUCGCGCUGCUGGGGGGACGGAGAUGUACAUUUGGCACAACUGUGCCUUGUGGCGGCCAGGCUGGCAACAACCCCCGAACCCUCGUCGUCCUUUGUGUUAGAUGAGUGAAUAAUGGUGUCUUCCACUUGUUUAAAAAAAAAAAAAAAAAAUUCCAACUAUUCACUGGUGAUUGUCGAA